ACAGCAGCCGCCGCGGGAAUACGAAGGGGGCUAGCGUUGCUCGGAAUGACUGGGCGUAAAGGGCGCGUAGGCGGAUUGUUUAGUUAGGCGUGAAAUUCCUGGGCUUAACCUGGGGACUGCGCUUAAUACAGGCAGUCUAGAGUGAGGAAGAGGGUUGUGGAAUUCCCAGUGUAGAGGUGAAAUUCGUAGAUAUUGGGAAGAACACCGGUGGCGAAGGCGGCAACCUGGUCCUUGACUGACGCUGAGGCGCGAAAGCGUGGGGAGCAAACAGAAUUAGAUACCCCUGUAGUCCCUGUCUCUUAUAC
rnacentral:rRNA from 1 species